UACAGAGGUCUCAAGCGUUGUUCGGAUUCAUUGGGCGUAAAGGGUGCGUAGGCGGCGCCGUAAGUCAGGUGUGAAAUUUCGAGGCUUAACCUCGAAACUGCAUUUGAUACUGCGGUGCUUGAGGACUGGAGAGGAGACUGGAAUUCAUGGUGUAGCAGUGAAAUGCGUAGAGAUCAUGAGGAAGACCAGUGGCGAAGGCGGGUCUCUGGACAGUUCCUGACACUGAGGCACGAAGGCCAGGGGAGCAAACGGG
rnacentral:rRNA from 1 species